rnacentral:rRNA from 1 species
GAUGAACGCUGGCGGCGUGCUUAACACAUGCAAGUCGAACGAUGAAGCCCAGCUUGCUGGGUGGAUUAGUGGCGAACGGGUGAGUAACACGUGAGUAACCUGCCCUUAACUCUGGGAUAAGCCUGGGAAACUGGGUCUAAUACCGGAUAGGAGCGUCCACCGCAUGGUGGGUGUUGGAAAGAUUUAUCGGUUUUGGAUGGACUCGCGGCCUAUCAGCUUGUUGGUGAGGUAAUGGCUCACCAAGGCGACGACGGGUAGCCGGCCUGAGAGGGUGACCGGCCACAACGGGACUGAGGCAACGCCCCGGCUCCCUAGGGGGGGAACAGGUGGGAAUAUUGCACAAUGGGCGCAAGCCUGAUGCAGCGACGCCGCGUGAGGGAUGACGGCCUUCGGGUUGUAAACCUCUUUCAGUAGGGAAGAAGCGAAAGUGACGGUACCUGCAGAAGAAGCACCGGCUAACUACGUG